rnacentral:ncRNA from 1 species
CAUGAAUGAUUUUUACAGGGCUGCUUGGAAAGUAAUUUCCAAGUGAUUAUCUGUCAAAUUCGGGGAAGUCUAAAUUUUUUAAAAAGAAAUAUGAUAAUCCCGAGCCAAUCCCCAACACAACGUUGGGGCAGGUGUAGAGACUAGAUGGCAGAUCCGCCUCUGGCGGAAAGGGAUAGUCCAGCUUACAAAUUCGAAAGAAGUUG